CUGAAAAUAAUCUUUGACUAAGAAACCACUUUGCUUAGGAGAUGAAUAGAUAAAUGUGCAAUGGCUGCGAACAGCAGCCUCCUUGGUAGUGUAUGCAGCCUGUUGGUUGUACGGGUUGCCCUAAGGGACCUUGGAGACAGUU
ensembl:snoRNA SNORA70 Small nucleolar RNA SNORA70